GUCCACGCUGUAAACGAUGGGUGCUAGCUGUUGGGAGGUUACCUCUCAGUAGCGCAGCUAACGCGUUAAGCACCCCGCCUGGGGAGUACGGUCGCAAGAUUAAAACUCAAAGAAAUUGACGGGGACCCGCACAAGCGGUGGAACAUGUGGUUUAAUUCGAGGCAACGCGAAGAACCUUACCAGGAUUUGACAUGCCCCCUAUGGACUCUUGAAAGAGAGUCCUUCACUUCGGGUGGGGGGACACAGGUGCUGCAUGGCUGUCGU
rnacentral:rRNA from 1 species